UACGGAGGGUGCAAACGUUGCUCGGAAUCAUUGGGCGUAAAGCGCACGUAGGCGGUCCUUUAAGUCGGGUGUGAAAGCCCUCGGCUCAACCGAGGAAGUGCAUUCGAAACUGGGGGACUUGAAUACUGGAGAGGAUGGCGGAAUUCCCGGUGUAGAGGUGAAAUUCGUAGAUAUCGGCAGGAACACCCAGGGGGAAACCAGCCGGCUGGGGACGUGCUGACGCUCGAGGG
rnacentral:rRNA from 1 species